CUUAAAUAGCUGUGUGUUAUAAAUGUGUUCACACAUGCACGUGUACCAGUACAUUCCAUUCGUGAAACCUACAGCCCAAUCUGAAUAGAGCCGAUCCAUAUGCAUGUGUGAGUUAAGAUGAAGAAAAGCAAAUGACUAAUUGAUGGGAGCACCUCUACCUGAAACUAUGAAAAGUAUGUAUCAUGUCUGCUAGAAUGGUGAGAGUAGCGAGGUGUAUUGUGGAUCUUCACUGUAAGCAGCAGUGAGCAGGCUGUAGCUGAGCAGGGGUGGGACUGGGACAUCAGGCCAAAAUGGUGCACAGUGCCUGCCUGCACAUGCCAUUGAUUGAGAUCCCCUGUUUAAGGAGGAGUGAUCAAGUGUUUUGGAUGGCUAAUAGCAUCAUGGGUAUUUUUCAAACAAAACAAGCUUAGAAAUAGUAUACAAAAAGUCUUUUUUUUUUUUUUUUUUUUUUAAUGUACUUUAGAGCUUGGGUACAAAAUCCUCUCAUUUGACUACUUUUUUUGUUUUCUUUCUCCAGGUACUCUUGGACUACAUAGCCUUUAGUCCGGCGUUGAUACAGAUAAGCAGACUUGUUAGGGAUUUUUGGGUAGACGUGCAGCUUGAAAGGUCUAGGAUGUUCAGUUCAGGUGCACAGUCAGUUUGGUAUGAAGACAGUUCUCAUUUCUGAUCCUCACUUAUGUCGUGCUGCAAAGCAACCAGGGUGGAACCUUUGUGCAGACAGGGGAAUGUUCCACUUGUUGUUCCUCCCAGGGAAUGUUUGGAAAAUGGAAUCUACCUACUUUAUGGCUGCUGGUGUGAAUUUAACCCAGCUCCAGUGAUGCAGCUGCGUUGUUGUAUAGUCCUUUGAAAGCCUCUCAGUGGAGUCAUGGCAAAUGUCUGAACACUGUAUGGCCCAUGCAGGUUAUGAACAUGCAGUUGUCCAAUGCAGCAUCUGUACAGCACCUUCAAUAGCUAUUUGUGUAACCUAAAGUCCUGAUCUUCACACACCAGAAGAUAAUUAUAGAAUGUACCUGGACACCACACAUCUUGGUUGUGCAGCCCUACACUUGAGAAUGCCUGAAAGGAGACUGUAUUUCAGAGAUGAGGAGCAGAGCCGUCAGCAAGAGGAUCUCCUGUUCCGCACAGCUGGGGAAAGAAGGAAGCAAGUCACCAAGUCCUGGUGUAAAUUUCUGAACAAAUGCUUCAGAGAAGGUUGUGUGCAUUCACCCUUUAUUUAAUGGUACUCUGGAAGGUAAGACGUGCAUUCCACAGGAGGGUGAUGCUCCAAUUGUGGCAGGUUUAAAAGCUAUGAAGCAACGUUCCAUGUAUUUCUUUGUCUUUUGGAAACAAGGACCAAUAGUUGGCAUUCUCUGAUGAAGAGGUGAAUUUUGGUGAUUGUCAGAUCUGACUAGAGAAAUGGAAAUCCUUUGAACUGAGCAAUAAAUUAUUCUGUUAAUUACUUAAUUCAUGGGCACGUGAAAGAGUCCUGGAAGAGUUGGCAGAGCAACUGAAUAACUCCCAGGUUCAGGCUUUUUAUUACCAUUAUCUUAUAAUUGCUGAUUGGCACAGGGUUCUGCACACUGCUCCCUAGGGAAGUCAGCAGUACGUGUGUCUGAGUGGUGAGAUUCCUAGACAGCGAUUUAUGCAGUGGUUUUGAUAGAUAGAAGAAGGCAGUAAGAGUUUAUUAGCAGAGUAUCAUUGUUGGGGGGUUUGGGGCAUAUGAAUUCCCUUGCUGAUGAAUGAAAAGAAUAAAACCGAAAUAAGAAGAGUAGCAAUUGUGAGGCAAUCAUUUACUCUAGAAAGAAGGUGGAAAUAUUUGAUCAUGUUCACAGCUUUGUCAUUUUGCUUUCUUUGCUUGUGACUCUAUCAGUAGAAAGGCUGAAUAUCACUAACUAGAGGGGAAAUCAACGGUGUGUUUAAAUGUUUAAUUGUAAUGCUUCUUCCUAAGUAAACCUCCAUUUAAUGUUUAAAGGACUAAAAAUGCAAAGUACGCAUCAAUAAAACAACAUAGUUUUAACUUCUAAUUAAGUUUUAACUUUGCAUUUUCACAGAUGUCAAAGCUACUACUCUAAUUAGUGUCUUUGUUGUUGUUGUUGUUGUUAUUUAGCAAUUAGCUAACUUAUUUGUAAUGAACAAUGAAGAGACUGGAAAAGAAAUGCAACCCACUGCAGUGCAAAUUUUGUUUCCCCUCUAUCAUGAGUUUCAAAAAAAUAUAUAUAUUAAAAUUUCUUCCAGUUUAAUCUUGCUGUGCCAGUUCAUUAGGGCACUCCUAAGGGUUACUGAGGGUUGUAUUCUGAAUGCUCAGUGCUCCCAGGCAGAUGUGUUAAAUCAGGUUAGUACAUGUCACCUCUCCUGCUCUGGAUAAUCUGUGAUAAGAACACUUAGAUUUAUAUUAAAACUGAACUUUUCAUUUCCAUGGGACUUUAUAAUUCUGAAACAGUCUCUUUUCAUGUUUGUGUUACUCUUUCUACUCCUUGAACUUAUUUAUUUUAAUAAUAGCUCGGAAGCUACAGAACAAUGGCAGAAUUCAUGCUAAUAGGUUAUUAAAAAAAGCCAGACCUUUAAUUGCAGGCAGUUAACACAAAAUCUGUUGGCAUUGUCUUGAACAGAAUGAUAGCAUUUAAUCAUUUUUAUCAUUAUAGCAUUCUUGUUAUAGCAUCCAAAGUUAUUGCUAGGGAGUUGUCACACAUUUUUUAUGAUAAAUUCUUAGAGUUUAUAACUUAACUGUAAAAACAUGCUCCAGGUUGAAACGUGACAGAGAAUUCUGAAUAUGAGACUGAACAUUGUUUCUGUUUUUAAAACAAGAAAACUACAAUAAUCAUAAUAAUGAAAACAAAACAAACCAAGAAAAAAGCAAAUUAAAACACCUCAAAGUGAGCAUUUAAUAGGUAUGAACUGAAAUUCCAUCCAGAAAAUGCCCUUUUCAGCAGAGAAUCUUUUGUUAUUUUCCUUGCUUUCCUGCCCCAAAGUGCACACUUCAGAACAAAGGAAAAAAGUUUAAUUUAAUGUUAAGUUUUCUGAGAACUUUGCCUCUAAAGAAGGAUGUUUUAGAACUAUGGAAAGAGAACUAUGAAUUUGAAGGAUGGGGGUUGUUGCAAAGGAAACCUCUUCUACUCUGAGCAUGUCUUUGCAAAUCAAGGAUUCUCCAUAGUAUUAAAAAAUUUAGUGUAGACCCCUAAAAGGUGGAGCUAUUUUACAGAACUGUUGGUGAGGUGGGAAAGCAAGACAGUAUUUCUUCCCUAUAAAUAGAGCAGACUCUCAGGAAAAAUGAAAAUCCCACGAAUCCUAUUAAAUCCGUCAGACUGAUCUGGUACAACAGAGAAAAGAAGUUGGACUUAGAAAGAAAGAAAUCGUGACCUCACAGCCAAGAGCCGUGUAUUCAUCUGAGACCCUGGCACUCUGAUUUCACAGGGCAAAGUGGCUUCUUAAUGAAAUGACACAUCUGUGUGCAGCCUUUUAACAUGCUGGUAAGGAGCAAGGUACUAACCUGUGCUCUACCCACUGAACUUUAUCACCUAGCUUUGGUGAACAAUCCGUUAUGUGCGCAACACCAGACAAGCAUAACUAGCAUUGUACUGAUGCGUGCCGUGGGUGCCCGCUGUGUGGUCACGCAAUGCGUAACACUGUAUUUCUGUUUGAUUUUGACAGUUUGUUCAUUUCUUCUCCAUUUGUGAGCCAGCAGACAGGGGAACAGAAUCCGGCUAUGUGCGUGACUUUAAAAGGUGCCGUUGGAUUGCAAAGAAAGACAGCUUACAAUUUGUCUUACUGAGCUGCAUUGGAAACCAGAUCGAAAGUAUAUUUUUGUUGUUCAGGGGCUGUAGCACUGAGGCAGUAUGGACUAAAGUCUGUUAGCCUAUCCUAGUUCCUGUGCGUAGAUGAGUAUGUACAGUUCUUCCAUGUUGCAUCCAGUUAGUAAGAAGGGUACACAAGCAUGCUGAAAUUUGAAGGAAAACAACCCUCAUUUGCCCAUCUCCCACAGACCAGCCAGUGCUCUGCUCCUCAUCAGCCCUCUCUGAGGACUGUGGGAAUGAGCAGGGUGCCCAUGAUGUUCCCUGUGCUUUGUUGGCUGCCAGCUGGAGCUGCUGGCUUGGUGACUACACUGUGCUUCUGUAGCUUCAGGAGCUGGCAUCAGGUGCCUCACUCACCAGGAUGCCUGCUGCUCUGUUGGAUGUCCCUGGAGGCUCUUCAGUGGUGAUUUCAAACUGGGUUUCCAGCUGCAUGGAUGUGAUGACAGCACACAGUAAGAGCAUGGCCCUACUCCCGCCUGGAAUUUCCCAGGUAAAUAUGUUGCCAAGGCUUCUAGAAGGUGUGGAGUUUGCUGCAUAUGCUCUGGCCAGGUAUGAAGGACAAAUCCAGUCCUCUUGAGAUUUAUUUUACCUGAAAGCUCUGGAAACCCUGAACAAGUAUAUAAAUUCCUUGAAUUUCACUGGAGAAAACCUUCUGGGUCGAAGACUCAGUAAGGGCUGUGAAACACUGGAACAGGUUGCUCAGAGAGGUGGUGGAUGCUCCAUCCUUUGUGAUGUUCAAGUUUGAGCUGGACAGGGCUCUGAACACCUGAUCUAGCUGUAGGUAUUCCUGUUCAUUGCAUGAGAGUUGGACUGGAUGACUCUUAAAAGUCCCAACUCAGAUGAUUCUGUGACAUCCCUAGGGAAGCCCAGAAGUUGGGAUACUUUCUUCGUUUUCCUCCUGCCAAUGUGCUAUUGGACAGGCUUUCCACCUCCUGUUCUAGAGCUGCACUCGUUUCUUCAAUUUUUCCUACUCCAUCUUUUGUCCAAAUUGCUAAAAGCAGUAGAAGAUAGCAUAUUCCUCUGCUGAGCUGAGCAAUCAUUGUAAUUCCAGGGUUCAACAUUUUAAUUCUCAACUACCUGUUUUUGUUUAGUUAAUGAAAAAAGAGGUGGGGACCUGUUGUGAAGCACUGAAGGAUUUGAGACCCAGAGUACCUUAAACAAAUCUAAGAAAACUUCGUUAAAAAAAGAAAAAGAGAGACCAAAAACCAAGAAGGAAAAAUAGUACUCUUGACUCCAGCCUUGGCAUUGUUGAGGCGACAGAGCUGGUAACAUGCUGGAAACAGGGAUUCCUCAUAGACCACCCAGAAGAACACAUCUCAGGUCUGCUUCGUGGACUCUACGUGCAGACUCCAUUUGGAGGUGCAGAAAUCCUUUUGUGGUACAGUGGGGCCAACAGCAGAACCAAGGAAUGUGGGGAAAACUGCCUCUGCAACAAGAACAUCAGAUCUUUUCUCUCCUCACUGAACAUCCUGCGUUCUCCCCUCAGGACUCAAGAAAAGCUCAGUGGAGAAGGGCAGGAGAGUGUUUAAGGAAGAAUUUGAACAAUGAAGUAACUUUGCUGCUGUUGGCAGAGAACCUUUCUGCAGCCUGAGGAACCAACCGGGAGAAGCCAUGAAAGUGUGUGUUUAAAAAAACACAGUGAAGAGACUCCAGCCAGUGCCUUUCAUACCUACAGCUAUCCACGUGCUUUCAGCUGUACCACAGUCCAAUUUGUGCCCUGUAUAGUGUCAGUCUGCUAAUGGAGAAAUUACAGAGGGGAGGGCCCGUGCAGCCCAGCUGAACGCAGGGAUUGUGGAGGCAGGAUGCUACCUUUGCAUAAUAUUACUGCUGCUGUGCCGUGAAUCUGGAUUUGGCUGACCCAGACAGUCUUGGGAGAUACAGUCAUUCAUCAGUGGUGCACGAGUGUGAGAGCAGAAAUGGUUUUUGUAACCAUUUGGAGUCUCAACGAAAUGCCGACAGAAUUCCAAGGAACCUUCUUCUGGUUCUUUUGGCCAAGAGAAGACCUACCUCUCAGUGCAAGAAAAACCCUGUCUGUCAACAGUGGAAAGUCCCAGGUCUACUUGAUCUUGUCCAUUUGGCACUGCUGGAGGAAUAACAAGUUUCUUCCCGUCAUGCACCAUUCUGGGAUACAUCAUGACAGAGAAAUCUCAAAGCCCAGGUCAAUUAUAACAGAAGAUGUGUAGCACCUCUGCCCCCAUGGUGUCUUCUGGGGAUCUACCUGGCAAAAUGAUAUAAAACUAUUUCUGAAGACAUCCCAUGAUCUGGCGCUACUCAGAACUAAGUCACCAGCAAAAUGUACAGCACUGAUGUUAAAGUUUUCCAAGAUCAUUGGUGUCCUACAUUAUUAAUCAAGUGCCUCAGAAAUAAUUCGCCUGUUGACAGACGAUAAAAUUGAAUUCCUGUCUUCAAAGUAUGGUCAGAGCUCAUCUGUAUAGCAUGGAGUGUGGAUGAAGGCUACUAGGCUGCAGUUCAACUGGUGAGGAUUUGCUAGUUCACUUGAAGGUCAAAAGAAGCAGCUGAUGGAACUGGAAAGGUUGCAGUUGCUGGGCUGAAGUGAAAGACAUCAGACUUGCCAACAGAGAGACUUCAACCAGGAUCCUCAGCAUCCCCGAUGGAUGGUGUGCCUGCAGAACUGCUGGCUGGUAAAAUCUUUAGAAAGCAGCUAGAACCAUCCUUGUUUCCAGAGGACCUUCAACCCGCAGUGAAAGGGAGGUGCUGUUACAGUGUAUGAUUCUGUACAGAAUAUGCCACUUACAGCUGCCAUCAGAAGUGCUUAUUUUGCCAAUGGAAUUUAAAUGACAUCUGGGUGUGAGCCUUGCCUCAAUACUGCAGCCUGGAGAUGGCAGAAUCCCCAGCAGGAAAAAGGCUCGGAUAGCAAGUGCUGCGGUAGAGGCAAGGAGACUGGGUAGGAACUGGGACCAUAUCUACUGUAUGGAGCUCUGCUCAGAUCCAAAGCAGGAUGUGAGUCCCUCUCAGAGCCUUGCUAUGGACUCCUGUGUUUAUUAGGAGCAGACACUUCUGUGCAGGUGAAAUCGC